UUCGACACACUAUCAUUAACUGAAUCCAUAGGUUAAUGAGGCGAACCGGGGGAACUGAAACAUCUAAGUACCCCGAGGAAAAGAAAUCAACCGAGAUUCCCCCAGUAGCGGCGAGCGAACGGGGAGGAGCCCAGAGCCUGAAUCAGUGUGUGUGUUAGUGGAAGCGUCUGGAAAGGCGCGCGAUACAGGGUGACAGCCCCGUACACAAAAAUGCACAUACUGUGAGCUCGAUGAGUAGGGCGGGACACGUGGUAUCCUGUCUGAAUAUGGGGGGACCAUCCUCCAAGGCUAAAUACUCCUGACUGACCGAUAGUGAACCAGUACCGUGAGGGAAAGGCGAAAAGAACCCCGGCGAGGGGAGUGAAAAAGAACCUGAAACCGUGUACGUACAAGCAGUGGGAGCCUCUUAAUGGGGUGACUGCGUACCUUUUGUAUAAUGGGUCAGCGACUUAUAUUCUGUAGCAAGGUUAACCGAAUAGGGGAGCCGAAGGGAAACCGAGUCUUAACUGGGCGUUAAGUUGCAGGGUAUAGACCCGAAACCCGGUGAUCUAGCCAUGGGCAGGUUGAAGGUUGGGUAACACUAACUGGAGGACCGAACCGACUAAUGUUGAAAAAUUAGCGGAUGACUUGUGGCUGGGGGUGAAAGGCCAAUCAAACCGGGAGAUAGCUGGUUCUCCCCGAAAGCUAUUUAGGUAGCGCCUCGUGAAUUCAUCUCCGGGGGUAGAGCACUGUUUCGGCAAGGGGGUCAUCCCGACUUACCAACCCGAUGCAAACUGCGAAUACCGGAGAAUGUUAUCACGGGAGACACACGGCGGGUGCUAACGUCCGUCGUGAAGAGGGAAACAACCCAGACCGCCAGCUAAGGUCCCAAAGUCAUGGUUAAGUGGGAAACGAUGUGGGAAGGCCCAGACAGCCAGGAUGUUGGCUUAGAAGCAGCCAUCAUUUAAAGAAAGCGUAAUAGCUCACUGGUCGAGUCGGCCUGCGCGGAAGAUGUAACGGGGCUAAACCAUGCACCGAAGCUGCGGCAGCGACACUAUGUGUUGUUGGGUAGGGGAGCGUUCUGUAAGCCUGUGAAGGUGUACUGUGAGGUAUGCUGGAGGUAUCAGAAGUGCGAAUGCUGACAUAAGUAACGAUAAAGCGGGUGAAAAGCCCGCUCGCCGGAAGACCAAGGGUUCCUGUCCAACGUUAAUCGGGGCAGGGUGAGUCGACCCCUAAGGCGAGGCCGAAAGGCGUAGUCGAUGGGAAACAGGUUAAUAUUCCUGUACUUGGUGUUACUGCGAAGGGGGGACGGAGAAGGCUAUGUUGGCCGGGCGACGGUUGUCCCGGUUUAAGCGUGUAGGCUGGUUUUCCAGGCAAAUCCGGAAAAUCAAGGCUGAGGCGUGAUGACGAGGCACUACGGUGCUGAAGCGACAAAUGCCCUGCUUCCAGGAAAAGCCUCUAAGCAUCAGGUAACAUCAAAUCGUACCCCAAACCGACACAGGUGGUCAGGUAGAGAAUACCAAGGCGCUUGAGAGAACUCGGGUGAAGGAACUAGGCAAAAUGGUGCCGUAACUUCGGGAGAAGGCACGCUGAUAUGUAGGUGAAGCGACUUGCUCGUGGAGCUGAAAUCAGUCGAAGAUACCAGCUGGCUGCAACUGUUUAUUAAAAACACAGCACUGUGCAAACACGAAAGUGGACGUAUACGGUGUGACGCCUGCCCGGUGCCGGAAGGUUAAUUGAUGGGGUUAGCGGUAACGCGAAGCUCUUGAUCGAAGCCCCGGUAAACGGCGGCCGUAACUAUAACGGUCCUAAGGUAGCGAAAUUCCUUGUCGGGUAAGUUCCGACCUGCACGAAUGGCGUAAUGAUGGCCAGGCUGUCUCCACCCGAGACUCAGUGAAAUUGAACUCGCUGUGAAGAUGCAGUGUACCCGCGGCAAGACGGAAAGACCCCGUGAACCUUUACUAUAGCUUGACACUGAACAUUGAGCCUUGAUGUGUAGGAUAGGUGGGAGGCUUUGAAGUGUGGACGCCAGUCUGCAUGGAGCCGACCUUGAAAUACCACCCUUUAAUGUUUGAUGUUCUAACGUGGGCCCCUUACCGGGGUUGCGGACAGUGUCUGGUGGGUAGUUUGACUGGGGCGGUCUCCUCCUAAAGAGUAACGGAGGAGCACGAAGGUUGGCUAAUCCUGGUCGGACAUCAGGAGGUUAGUGCAAUGGCAUAAGCCAGCUUGACUGCGAGCGUGACGGCGCGAGCAGGUGCGAAAGCAGGUCAUAGUGAUCCGGUGGUUCUGAAUGGAAGGGCCAUCGCUCAACGGAUAAAAGGUACUCCGGGGAUAACAGGCUGAUACCGCCCAAGAGUUCAUAUCGACGGCGGUGUUUGGCACCUCGAUGUCGGCUCAUCACAUCCUGGGGCUGAAGUAGGUCCCAAGGGUAUGGCUGUUCGCCAUUUAAAGUGGUACGCGAGCUGGGUUUAGAACGUCGUGAGACAGUUCGGUCCCUAUCUGCCGUGGGCGCUGGAGAACUGAGGGGGGCUGCUCCUAGUACGAGAGGACCGGAGUGGACGCAUCACUGGUGUUCGGGUUGUCAUGCCAAUGGCACUGCCCGGUAGCUAAAUGCGGAAGAGAUAAGUGCUGAAAGCAUCUAAGCACGAAACUUGCCCCGAGAUGAGU
rnacentral:rRNA from 1 species